UAAUAAUGCUAUCAAAAUAAUAAUAAUAAAAUGAUUAAUUUGUUUGAAAGAAAUAUAAAAAAAUUGAAUCAAAUAGAUUAAUUUAUGCCAAUUUAUGUGUAAGAUAAAUAAACAUAUUUACAUGUUUAUUUAAUAAGCAUAUUAAAUAAUAUACAAAAUAAAUGUAUAACAAAAUAAAUGUUAUUUUUUAUUUUAUUUUUUUAUUUUCUGUAGUUUUGGAGUGAAAUGUGACCAGGACAGGCUUCCAUGAGUUUGUUGUCUGAAUGUCAUUAAGGAGCUGAUUCAGACCUGCAUUCGGAUGCUUUUCAGUCUUUGUGUCGGCCGUCAGUCGUCGAUGACAGAUCUGCUGCUUUAUCCGGUUCAUCAGAGCUUAUUUUAAAGCGGUGUGUUUCUCUUUAAGUCACGGAGGCCUGUACGAAUGGAGGCUCCUUUUAUCAGCUGUUGACUUUGCGAUAAAUGAGCGUCUCAACAAAGAGCGCGUCUUUCAUGCGCCGGCGUCACGAGGGCCACUUUGAAGUGAAGUUUUCUGAGCGUGUUUUGAUUGAGCUCUCAUUGUGAGUGGGAGAGGAUUUGUGGAAGCGCAGGGAGAGGGUUUUUUUCCACGGUGGGCGAUUCAAUAAAGCAUUUAGGAAGAAAGAGCCUGAGACCAUGUAAAGACAGAAGCCGCAUGUGCGUCGUUAAUUACCGCCAUUAUAAAGUGCAUAAUGUUGUAUUGUCUCUCUGUCAUUAGAAUUAGAACUGUGUGAAUGUAAACAUCACAUUUAUGUCACGCACGACCUGCGUUACUGCGGGAUUGUGGGAAAUAUGAACAGUGUGACAUGAAGACAAUGAAUGGUAGCUGUUUUUAUUUCAUUAGGACACUUAGUUUUUCAUUUCAGUGCAGAUUUGAACAGGAUUUAUGAAUAAAUAGAUGACUGAAAUGAGUUUGUGAAUGUGAUUUCUGUUCUUCUCUCUGUAGAUUUGGAAGACAGAGCGAGCUCGUCUUGGGGAAAUGGAGUUCGUGCCACAAAGAAUUACGCUGACGGCUCUCAGUACGGUCACAUGGCCAGUCGGGACCUGGGGUGACAUGACAACAUCUCUCCGCCGUACGCCAACCCCAGAUUAGCAGGUAAAACGGAUCGAGCGUCGUAUUCUUACGGACGGGACUCCAGCAUUCACGGCUGUCAGGUAAGAGGCUCUCUCAGAUGAGAAUUACUGUAAGAAAUGCUCUUUAACAGCUUGAGACUCAGUUGUGUCUCAGAUGUUGUGUCUCGUCAUCCGGUGAGGGUCUAGAGCUGUAAAAUGAAUGUGGAGCAUUGGAUGAGAAGUGUUUGAGCUCAUGUUGCCAUCUCUGACUUUGUCUCUGAUCUCUUCUGAAACUCUCGUUUUUAAUCACUAUAUAUGUGAUUAAAAGCCACAGAAAUGAGAAAAAAAGCCUGCAUGGAAAAUAGCAUUCUUCUAGGAAAGCUCAUUUUCUACGGCUAGAAAUAACUCUUCACUGAGUAUGUUUCCAAAAUUAUUAUUUUUAAAAUCUUUAUUCAAUCAUCACAAAUGAUCCA
rnacentral:lncRNA from 1 species